rnacentral:rRNA from 1 species
GAUGAACGCUAGCGGCAGGCUUAACACAUGCAAGUCGAGGGGUAUGCUUCUUCGGAAGCAGAGACCGGCGCACGGGUGCGUAACGCGUAUGCAAUCUACCUUUUACAGAGGGAUAGCCCAGAGAAAUUUGGAUUAAUACCUCAUAGUAUUAUAGAAUGGCAUCAUUUUAUAAUUAAAGUCACAACGGUAAAAGAUGAGCAUGCGUCCCAUUAGCUAGUUGGAAGGUAACGGCUUACCAAGGCUACGAUGGGUAGGGGUCCUGAGAGGGAGAUCCCCCACAC